rnacentral:rRNA from 1 species
UACGGAGGAUGCGAGCGUUAUCCGGAUUUAUUGGGUUUAAAGGGUGCGCAGGCGGGAGAUUAAGUCGGCGGUGAAAUUUUGCAGCUCAACUGUAAAAGUGCCUUCGAAACUGGUUUCCUUGAGUGUAGAUGAAGUAGGCGGAAUUUGUGGUGUAGCGGUGAAAUGCAUAGAUAUCACGAGGAACUCCGAUUGCGCAGGCAGCUUACUAAACUACUACUGACGCUCAGGCACGAAGGCGUGGGGAUCAAACAGGAUUAGAUACCCGGGUA